CCACCACCAAAGCAUUCUCUGGUGUUGAAGGCCCUGCAAAGCAGCAUCGCGGUGGCGGAGCGUCGUUUGCGACGCCCAACACACAAAACAAGCGGUGAGUGCUUUGGGGUGGGGUGACUGCGUACCUUUUGUAUAAUGGGUCAGCGACUUAUAUUCUGUAGCAAGGUUAACCGAAUAGGGGAGCCGGAGGGAAACCGAGUCUUAAUUGGGCGUUAAGUUGCAGGGUAUAGACCCGAAACCCGGUGAUCUAGCCAUGGGCAGGUUGAAGGUUGGGUAACACUAACUGGAGGACCGAACCGACUAAUGUUGAAAAAUUAGCGGAUGACCUGUGGCUGGGGGUGAAAGGCCAAUCAAACCGGGAGAUAGCUGGUUCUCCCCGAAAGCUAUUUAGGUAGCGCCUCGUGAAUUCAUCUCCGGGGGUAGAGCACUGUUUCGGCUAGGGGGCCAUCCCGGCUUACCAACCCGAUGCAAACUGCGAAUACCGGAGAAUGUUAUCACGGGAGACACACGGCGGGUGCUAACGUCCGUCGUGAAGAGGGAAACAACCCAGACCGCCAGCUAAGGUCCCAAAGUCAUGGUUAAGUGGGAAACGAUGUGGGAAGGCCCAGACAGCCAGGAU
rnacentral:rRNA from 1 species